UACGUAGGGAGCGAGCGUUGUCCGGAUUUAUUGGGCGUAAAGAGCUCGUAGGCGGUUUGGUAAGUCGGGUGUGAAAGCUCCGGGCUCAACUCGGAGAGGUCACUCGAUACUGCCAUGACUGGAGUCCGGUAGGGGGGUGUGGAAUUCCCAGUGUAGCGGUGAAAUGCGCAGAUAUUGGGAAGAACACCAGUGGCGAAGGCGACUUACUGGACACAUAUUGACGCUGAGGUGCGAAAGCGUGGGGAGCAAACAGG
rnacentral:rRNA from 1 species